rnacentral:SRP_RNA from 1 species
GCUGGGCAUGCACCUGUAGUCCCAGCUACUGCUGAGGCGGGAGGAUUGCCUGAGCCUAGGAGCUCUGUAUUACAAUGCACUAUGCCUAUGGGGUGUCUGCACUAGGUGUGGCAUCAACGUGGUGACCUCCCAGGAGUGGGGGCCACCAGGUUGACUAAGGAGGGGUGAUACAACCCAGGUUGGAAGCAGAGUAUAUCAAAAACCCCAUGCUGGCUGGGGCUCCCGAGACCAGCCUGACCAACAUGGCGAAACCCUGUCUCU